AUUAUUGUUGCCUCCCAGUUUCUCACUCUUUGAAAUUGGAAAUCAAAACAGAGCAAAUCUGCUUACUCCUAGUCUGAUUAGGUUCCUUUGAAAGCUGCAGAAGGAAAUUUGGUUAAAAAUAGGUACUUUUUCCCCUUUGCCUUCUGCCAUGAUUGUAAGUUUCCUGAGGUCUCUCCAGAAGCCGAGCAGAUGCCAGAAUCAUGCUUCCU
rnacentral:lncRNA from 1 species